CCGUUUUUGGUUUUCUUAUAAUAAAGUUUGAUUCUGGCUUUUAAAUUUGGAAUUUUAAGUAUUUUAUAUGUAAGAUUUUUCUUUUUUUUGUCUAAAUGAUUGUUUUUUCAGUAUUUAAUUUUAGUUUUUAUUUAAAGAUAAAACUAGAUUUUAAUUUGUUUGACUGACUAAAAUUGUGCCAGCUGUCGCGGUUAUACAAUUAGUUAUACUAAAUUUUUUUGAUAAUGUAUUAAUUUUUUUUUUGUUUUAGUAAAAUUUAUUAUUUUGAGGUGGAAUUUUAAUUUUAAAAAUUAUUAUAGGUUAAUGAUUAGAUAUAUGACAAUUUUUUAAUAAACUAGGAUUAGAUACCCUAUUAUUUAAAUUAUAAAUUUUCUUAUUAUUAAUAGUUAUGUUCUUAAAAUUAAAAGAAUUUGGCGGUAAUUUAAUCUUUCUAGAGGAACCUGUUCUGUGAAUGAUAAUCCACGAUUGAUUUUACUUUAAUUUUACUUAUAUAUCGCUGUCAUUGAAUGUUUUAUAAGAAUAUUUUCUUUAAUUUUUAUGAAUUUAAUGUUAGGUCAAGAUGUAGUUAUAUUAAAGAAGAAAUGGGUUACAUUAAAAUUAUUUAUGAAUUAAUAUUUGAAAUUUUAUUAUGAAAUUGGAUUUAGGUGUAAUUUUUAUUAAAUUAUAAUUUUGAUUUUAGUUCUAAAUUAUGUACAUAUCGCCCGUCACUCCCAUUAUUAGUUGGGAUAAGUCGUAACAAAGUAGACCUACCGGAAGGUGGGCCUGGUUAGUUC
rnacentral:ncRNA from 1 species